rnacentral:rRNA from 1 species
GGAUUAGAUACCCGGGUAGUCCAUGCCGUAAACGAUGUCGACUAGGUGUUGGGGAACUUGAUUCCUUAGUGCCGCAGCUAACGCAUUAAGUCGACCGCCUGGGGAGUACGGCCGCAAGGUUAAAACUCAAAUGAAUUGACGGGGGCCCGCACAAGCGGUGGAGCAUGUGGUUUAAUUCGAUGCAACGCGAAGAACCUUACCUACUCUUGACAUCCAGAGAAUCCUGUAGAGAUACGGGAGUGCCUUCGGGAAUUCUGAGACAGGUGCUGCAUGGCUGUCGUCAGCUCGUGUCGUGAGAUGUUGGGUUAAGUCCCGCAACGAGCGCAACCCUUGUCCUUAGUUGCCAGCGCGUAAUGGCGGGAACUCUAGGGAGACUGCCGGUGACAAACCGG